GCCUUGGUAGCUCAAUUGGCUAGAGCGUGGGACUUUUAUUAAACGGACAAUACAUCCGGAUUACUUGGGAAUCCCAAGGUUGCGGGUUCGACCCCCGCCUGAGGCG